rnacentral:misc_RNA from 1 species
UUUCCGUAGGUGAACCUGCGGAAGGAUCAUUACAGAGUUCGUCCCCGAAAGGGUAGACCUACCACCCUGGUGUAGUAUUACUUUGUUGCUUUGGCGAGCGCACGCUCGACAGAGAAUGCCAAAACUCUUUUUAUUAAUGUCGUCUGAGUACUAUAUAAUAGUUACAACUUUUAACAACGGAUCUCUUGGUUCUG